GGGGUACUCGAGUGGCGAACGGGUGAGUAACACAUGGGUGAUCUGCCCUGCACUUUGGGAUAAGCCUGGGAAACUGGGUACUAAUACCGAAUAGGACCACGCGCUUCAUGGUGUGUGGUGGAAAGCUUUUGCGGUGUGGGAUGGGCCCGCGGCCUAUCAGCUUGUUGGUGGGGUAAUGGCCUACCAAGGCGACGACGGGUAGCCGGCCUGAGAGGGUGACCGGCCACACUGGGACUGAGAUACGGCCCAGACUCCUACGGGAGGCAGCAGUGGGGAAUAUUGCACAAUGGGCGCAAGCCUGAUGCAGCGACGCCGCGUGAGGGAUGACGGCCUUUCGGGUUGUAAACCUCUUUCAAUAGGGACGAAGCGCAAGUGACGGUACCUAUAGAAGAAGCACCGGCCAACUACGUGCCAGCAGCCGCGGUAAUACGUAGGGUGCGAGCGUUGUCCGGAAUUACUGGGCGUAAAGAGCUCGUAGGUGGUUUGUCGCGUUGUUCGUGAAAACUCACAGCUUAACUGUGGGCGUGCGGGCGAUACGGGCAGACUAGAGUACUGCAGGGGAGACUGGAAUUCCUGGUGUAGCGGUGGAAUGCGCAGAUAUCAGGAGGAACACCGGUGGCGAAGGCGGGUCUCUGGGCAGUAACUGACGCUGAGGAGCGAAAGCGUGGGGAGCGAACAGGAUUAGAUACCCUGGUAGUCCACGCCGUAAACGGUGGGUACUAGGUGUGGGUUCCUUCCUUGGGAUCCGUGCCGUAGCUAACGCAUUAAGUACCCCGCCUGGGGAGUACGGCCGCAAGGCUAAAACUCAAAGGAAUUGACGGGGGCCCGCACAAGCGGCGGAGCAUGUGGAUUAAUUCGAUGCAACGCGAAGAACCUUACCUGGGUUUGACAUGCACAGGACGCCGGCAGAGAUGUCGGUUCCCUUGUGGCCUGUGUGCAGGUGGUGCAUGGCUGUCGUCAGCUCGUGUCGUGAGAUGUUGGGUUAAGUCCCGCAACGAGCGCAACCCUUGUCCUAUGUUGCCAGCGGGUUAUGCCGGGGACUCGUAGGAGACUGCCGGGGUCAACUCGGAGGAAGGUGGGGAUGACGUCAAGUCAUCAUGCCCCUUAUGUCCAGGGCUUCACACAUGCUACAAUGGCCGGUACAAAGGGCUGCGAUGCCGUGAGGUGGAGCGAAUCCUUUCAAAGCCGGUCUCAGUUCGGAUCGGGGUCUGCAACUCGACCCCGUGAAGUCGGAGUCGCUAGUAAUCGCAGAUCAGCAACGCUGCGGUGAAUACGUUCCCGGGCCUUGUACACACCGCCCGUCACGUCAUGAAAGUCGGUAACACCCGAAGCC
rnacentral:rRNA from 1 species